CAGCUAGUUGGUAGGGUAAUGGCCUACCAAGGCGACGAUCAGUAGCUGGUCUGAGAGGAUGAUCAGCCACACUGGGACUGAGACACGGCCCAGACUCCUACGGGAGGCAGCAGUGGGGAAUAUUGGACAAUGGGCGCAAGCCUGAUCCAGCCAUGCCGCGUGAGUGAUGAAGGCCUUAGGGUUGUAAAGCUCUUUCGUCCGGGACGAUAAUGACGGUACCGGAAGAAGAAGCCCCGGCUAACUUCGUGCCAGCAGCCGCGGUAAUACGAAGGGGGCUAGCGUUGCUCGGAAUCACUGGGCGUAAAGGGCGCGUAGGCGGCCGAUCAAGUCGGGGGUGAAAGCCUGUGGCUCAACCACAGAAUUGCCUUCGAUACUGUUCGGCUCGAGACCGGAAGAGGUAAGUGGAACUGCGAGUGUAGGGGUGAAAUUCGUAGAUAUUCGCAAGAGCACCAGUGGCGAAGGCGGCUUACUGGUCCGGUUCUGACGCUGAGGCGCG
rnacentral:rRNA from 1 species